rnacentral:rRNA from 1 species
CCUACGGGUGACAGCAGUGAGGAAUAUUGGUCAAUGGCCGGAAGGCUGAACCAGCCAUGCCGCGUGAAGGGCAGGGACCUAGGGGCGUUAAACUUCUUUUGUGCGGGAGCAAGAAUGGUCACGUGUGGCCAGACGAGAGUACCGUACGAAUAAGCAUCGGCGAACUCCGUGCCAGCAGCCGCGGUAAUACGGGGGAUGCAAGCGUUAGCCGGAGUGCGUGGGUUUAAAGGGUGCGUAGGCUGUGAGGUAAGUCAGCGGUGAAAUGCCCCCGCUCAACGGGGUGAAGUGCCAUUGAUACUGCCUUGCUGGCCUGCGGCUGCCGUGGGCGGAAUGUGUGUUGUAGCGGU